AGUGAACGCUGGCGGUAGGCUUAACACAUGCCAGUCGAACGGCAGCACAGUAAGAGCUUGCUCUUACGGGUGGCGAGUGGCGGACGGGUGAGGAAUACAUCGGAAUCUACUUUUUCGUGGGGGAUAACGUAGGGAAACUUACGCUAAUACCGCAUACGACCUACGGGUGAAAGCAGGGGAUCUUCGGACCUUGCGCGAUUGAAUGAGCCGAUGUCGGAUUAGCUAGUUGGCGGGGUAAAGGCCCACCAAGGCGACGAUCCGUAGCUGGUCUGAGAGGAUGAUCAGCCACACUGGAACUGAGACACGGUCCAGACUCCUACGGGAGGCAGCAGUGGGGAAUAUUGGACAAUGGGCGCAAGCCUGAUCCAGCCAUACCGCGUGGGUGAAGAAGGCCUUCGGGUUGUAAAGCCCUUUUGUUGGGAAAGAAAAGCAGCAGGUUAAUACCCCGCUGUUCUGACGGUACCCAAAGAAUAAGCACCGGCUAACUCCGUG
rnacentral:rRNA from 1 species